rnacentral:rRNA from 1 species
GGGGAACUGAAACAUCUUAGUACCCAUAGGAAGAGAAAAUAAAAAUGAUUCCGUAAGUAGUGGCGAGCGAAAGCGGAAAAGCCCAAACCUGAGUGAGCAAUCACUAACAGGGGUUAGGACAUGCAACAAAUUCCAAGAAAGAGUGUAGUAGAAGUGUUUUGGGAAAGCACACCAAAGAGAGUGAAAGUCUCGUAUACGAAACACGAAAGAAGGAAGAGUAUGAUCCAGAGUAAGACAGGACACGAGAAAUCCUGUGUGAAUGAGCGGGGACCAUCCCGUAAGGCUAAAUACUACUUGGUGACCGAUAGUGAAAUAGUACCGUGAGGGAAAGGUGAAAAGAACCCCGGGAGGGGAAUGAAAUAGAAUCUGAAACCCUAUGCUUACAAGCAGAUAGAGCACGUUAAAGUGUGAUAUCGUACUUUUUGCAGAACGGUCCGGCGAGUUACUGUAUAUGGCAAGGAGAAGAGUUUAAGACUAAUAUCCGAAGCGAAAGCGAGUCUGAAUAGGGCGAAGUUAAGUCAUAUGUAGUAGACCCGAAACCGAGUGACCUAUCCAUGUCCAGGAUGAAGCUAGAGUGAAAUCUAGUGGAGGUCCGCACCAGUAGACGUUGAAAAGUCUUUGGAUGAGGUGUGGAUAGCGGAGAAAUUCUAAUCGAACUCGGAUAUAGCUGGUUCUCCUCGAAAUAGCUUUAGGGCUAGCCUUGAACAAAAACCGUAUGGGGGUAGAGCACUGAAUGAGCUAGGGGCCAAACAAAGGUUACCAAACUUUAUCAAACUGCGAAUACCAUAAGGGAAGUUCAGGAGUCAGACUACGGGAGCUAAGUUCCGUGGUCAAAAGGGAAAGAGCCCAGACCGUCAAUUAAGGUCCCUAAGAUAUAACUAAGUGGAAAACGAUGUGAUUUUGCGCAGACAACCAGGAUGUUGGCUUAGAAGCAGCCAUUCAUUUAAAGAGUGCGUAAUAGCUCACUGGUCGAGUGAAGUUGCGCGGAAAAUUACCGGGGCUAAGUUAUACACCGAAAUUGCGGAUUCAUUAAGAAAUUAAUGAGUGGUAGAGGAGCGUUCUAUACAGGAUGAAGUAUGAUCGAGAGGACAUAUGGACAGUAUAGAAGAGAGAAUGCCGGAAUGAGUAGCGAGAGCAAAGUGAGAAUCUUUGCCGUCGAAAAUCUAAGGUUUCCUGGGGAAGGUUCGUCCGCCCAGGGUAAGUCGGGACCUAAGGUGAGGCCGAAGGGCGUAGCCGAUGGACAGCAGGUUAAGAUUCCUGCACCAGUAUACAUGUAUAAUGCAUAAGAGGACACAUUUGAAGAAGAUGAGCGAGGAAGAGGAAAAACUCGUAUGGCAACAUAUAGUGAAAUUAAGUAACGAAUCAUCAAGAGGCAAGUGGCGAGAAAAGUUUUAUGUAGUUGUGUAGACUGCCCGUACCGCAAACCGACACAGGUAGAUGAGGAGAGGAUCCUAAGACGAGCGGGAGAAGCAUUGUUAAGGAACUCGGCAAAUUGACCCCGUAACUUAGGGAUAAGGGGUGCUGGUGUAAAAACCAGUCGCAGUAAAUAGGCCCAAGCAACUGUUUAACAAAAACACAGGUUUCUGCUAAAUCGCAAGAUGAAGUAUAGGAGCUGACUCCUGCCCAGUGCUGGAAGGUUAAGGGGAAAGGUUAGGAAUAAUUCAUUAUAUCCGAAGCUUUGAACUCAAGCCCCAGUGAACGGCGGCCGUAACUAUAACGGUCCUAAGGUAGCGAAAUUCCUUGUCAGGUAAGUUCUGACCCGCACGAAAGGAGUAAUGAUUUGGGCACUGUCUCAACAAUGUACCCGGCGAAAUUGUAGUACUAGUGAAGAUGCUAGUUACCUGCGACAAGACGGAAAGACCCCAUGGAGCUUUACUAUAGCCUGAUAUUGGGCUUUGGUAUCUUAUGUACAGGAUAGGUGGGAGACUAUGAGAUUAAGACGCAAGUCUUAAAGGAGUCAACCUUGGAAUACCACCCUUAAGAUAUUAGAGUUCUAACUUGUGAUCAUAAACUGGUCAGAGGACAUUGUCAGGUGGGUAGUUUGACUGGGGCGGUCACCUCCUAAAGAGUAACGGAGGUGCGCAAAGGUUUCCUCGGCACGGUCAGAAAUCGUGCUAAUGAGUGUAAAGGCAUAAGGAAGCUUAACUGAGAGAGAGACAUCUCGAGCAGAUACGAAAGUAGGUCUUAGUGAUCCGGUGGUAGAAAAUGGAAUUGCCAUCGCUCAACGGAUAAAAGUUACCCUGGGGAUAACAGGCUUAUCUCCCCCAAGAGUUCACAUCGACGGG